rnacentral:pre_miRNA from 1 species
UUGGCCUGCGUCCUCUGAAACACACUGUAUGUAUAUAUAUAUAUAUAUAUAUAUAUAUAUAUAUAGAGUGUGUUUCAGAGGACGCAGGCCAA